rnacentral:lncRNA from 1 species
AAGCUCAAGAGCACACAACACAUUCACCAACUUACCUUUACAGAUGACCCUGAUCUUGAGAAUACUUUGAUCUACAAUCUUUCCAAGGUAUUGAAUGCAUAUUAUUUUGCUCUUAAUUAUAAGUUGUCUCAUCCCAAAACCCUUAUCUAGGUCUCCUUUUUCUGUAGUCAUGAAAAUAAUGGGGGUUUUGGGCUUUGAAAAUGGAGGUAACUUAUUGGAGAAGUGGUUACAGGAAUGUUUUGUUCAAAUUCAUUUGCAAGCCUAUAGUGGGAAAGGGAAAGGUUAUGAAUCGAUGUCAGAUGCCCCCAUCUACUAAAGAUGAAGAGUUAGUUCUAGUAAGUUUUAUUGUUAUUACUGUUAAUUUGUUAUUAAUAGAAAUUGUGUUUUUAAUGGUCAACGUCUUGCUUAGUGUUAAUUUGGAAUGAAAAUCUUAUUACCAUGUCAGUGAGAAAAUUGGGAUUUUUAUUUGAGAUUAGGGAAAUUGAGUAGAUUGGAUUUGUAUCUAAAUGUAACAAAUGUUACAAAAAAUAUAAUAGUUUUAUUAUUGUUAAUUAAAUUUUGAAAUGUGUAGAUUCAAACGAAUUUUAUUUUUACAUAACUCAGAUGAUGAAUUACUUUAAGAAAUUUUUUCUUUACAUUAUAAAAUAUUUAUUAGUUCGAUAAUAAAAACCAUUUAAUAAAAUUUUGAAUUCUAAAAUUUAUUAAAUAAAUUAUGUUAAAUUAAAAAAUUCUUGAAUUUUUGAACAUAAUAUUUUGUACUGUAUGGAUACUGUUUGGAUUUGUUUUAUCUUUAAUUUUUGUAGGUUUGGGUUAAUUAACAAAACAGAUAGAAUUAAUAUUAAAAAAUAUGCAAAAAUAACAUCGAUCCUUCCUAUGAGCUGCAUUACAACAUUGAUUUUGAUAAAACUGAUAUUGUUUUGUACCUUAUAACAUUGAUUUUGUCAAAAUCGAUGUUAUUUUUUAUAUUUUUUUUGUGUAUACUUCUUACAAUAGAAAAUCGAUUUUCGUAAAAAUUGAUAUUGUAAAGUGGAUUUUAAGAUCGGUUUUCAUAACCGAUGUUAAAAUCGAUAAUUUUAACAUUGAUAGUUUCAACAUUGGUUGAAUCGAUGUUGAAAGUCCGAAAUAACCGAUAUUAAAAGUUUGUUUUCUAAUAGUAUAAUUGAUUUUUCUCAUCAAAAUAAAUUUAAUUAUCUCUUCUAAUUAUUUUCGAUCACUUUAUCAUAAAACACAAAAACCAAAGUGUUACAUAUAUUUAUCUAUAAGUCAGGCAAUAAGUCAGCGUGAAUAUAAAACAAAUGGAACCAUACCAAAAUUGAAGAGAAAAUAAUUUAAGAUGAAAAAUUCAACCAAAUCGAAGAUUAACUUUUACUUGGAACUCAAGAUACAAAAUUCCAAACACUCGAUUUAUCAUACAAGGUCUAUCCAAAAGCAAAAAUGCAAUAAAGAUGAAACUACAGGAAUACAAAAAUGACAAAAACACAAAGUGGUACAAUACUUAAAGUACUAUUAAUUUAAUUAUUUUUUAAAUGAAUUAUGAUGAUAUUUUAAUAUUUUAUGUAGGAUAAUAAUGUUUAGACUAUUUUCCUCUUUUUUUAAAAUUUAAUUAUUAAUUAUUCUAUUAAAUUUAAAACGUCAUAUUUACUUGAUGUGAUAGUUGAUUUAGUUCAUGAAAAAAAAUUAUUUGAAAAUUGUACUAUUAAUAUACUAAUUCGUGCUAAAAGUCAAACAAAUUGUAGAAAUGUUGGAUAAGUUAAUUUAUUUAAUUUUAAUUGCAUAUAUUAUGCAAAAUUCAUUUUGGAUUAGUUUUUGUUUUAAAUAUAUUAAUUAGACAUAAAUGUAUUUAUUCUUAUUUUCUUUCAAAAGAUAUUAAUUUCAAUUUGAAUUUGGUUUGCAACCGAUCCAAAAGGUUACGAAGCACCAGAUGAUGGCAUGUGUCAUCCAGAGCUUGAGAAGUAAAACUGUUUCGCCAUUUGGAAUACUAACAUGUUUUUGGAUUAAUAAAAUUAAUAUUAUAGAUAGAUACUAAUAUCACUCUGGUGUGGCCUAUAUGAGCAUCCAUCACAUGAAUGAUUCAUAACAACAACACCAGAUUGGUCGUGAAAUAUCUUUAAUUUACAAGAGUUAAUAAUAUUCAAUUAUGUCGCAUGUGAAGAUUGAUUGAGAUCAUUAAUCAAGUGGUGGUCCAGGGUUAUUGUUUGCAUUUAAAUUUGUUGCGUCCAGUGGAUAUCAUAAUAUAAAUUUUGAGAUGGAUAACAAGGUUAUUGUUGAUAAAAUCAAUAUUCUUUCCAUGGAAGAAUCUUUAUUAAGUUUGAUUUGUAUCCCGAAUAACUCGGUCUCUGAAUUGUAUCUCGAAUUCCCUAUUCACAAGUUUUUUUUUUUCUUAAUUCAACUUAAAUUAGUGUUUGAAUCUCGUUAUUAUUAAUUUUUAUUUUAGAUUUUAGAGUAUGAAUAAACUUUUCUUAAUCUAAUAAUAUUAGUUAUAUAUUUAUAUAUAAUAGAUACAUAUAUAAUUUUAAAAUUUUAAUAUAUAUCGAGUCAAAUCGGGCCAAUUACUGACCCAUGGAUUGCAUUACUAACCCACUGAUCAACUACCUCGACCAGGUCAAUGAUCAGAUUGAUUUUUAUAACAUUAUUUUUGAGUAAGAGUCUUUUAUAGACUUCAGUGAGGAAUUCGUUACGUGUUCUGAUAGGCGAAGAAUUGCACAAUAUUACAGACAACACCAUGUUCCCUUAAGCGACCUUUAGAGAAUAUUUUGUGAGUACCUUCUAUUUCCUUCUAUUUUGUCAUUUUCUUAAAUUUAAAUGGCAUUUCAAAAUAAAGAGGCAAAAUGAAAUUGUAUAGGAUAAAGUACGUGUACUUUCCUUUCUCAGUUAUCACGGACUUAUUGUCCAAUGUUGAUCAUUCCAAAGGGUGUGUGACUUACUUACUAGAUGGAUGCGUGGAAUAGCUAUAUAAUACUAAUUGUCACAAUGAGUGGACGCCUUUUGAUUUUAGCACGUUGGAUGUUGGAUAGAUAAUUAACAGAGCAAUCCUUCUUGGAUGAUACAACGUAUUAAGUCCUUUAAAAUUUGAACCUAUCCACUUGUCAAAAACUCAUUAGAACAUCAAUAAUUUAUACUUUUUGUUAUUCAUCAAAAUUCAAGGUAGAUAAAAUGAGUAGUCAUCUAGACCUAACAAAUUUGUCAUUCACAAAAUGAGUAAGAAUUGAAAAUAUAAUACUUUAUUGCCUUUAAUUUGGGUUAUGCAUAAAAAUUUUAAUAAAAAUUUUUCUUAGAAAUGCUAAUAAAUAAAGAUCUUCACUUAAAAUAAUUUUUAAAACUUCUUAAGAAGUUUCUGAUAAUAUAUCUUUUAUUGAUGUGAUGAAAAAAACUAAACUAAACAAAUUUAAUGUUAUCAAUAAGAUUUGAAAAUACAAUAUUUUAUUGACCUUAAUUUGCCAUUCACGGAAUUAAAGGAGAUAAUUAAGGGGCAAAAUUUAUGAUGCAACAUUAACUAUUGUUGAAAAAGGACUAAAUAGUUGUAUAAGUUUAACAAACACAAAUAUUUUUGUUAUUACUUUUCUUUUUCUAUUAUCUGUAUUAGUUUACUUUUAUUUGCGUUCUAAUAAUGGCAAGAAUUUCGACAAUCAAACAUCGUGUCUCGUAGGACUGAUUGAAAGAUAUAGGUUUACGUGAUGUGCUUAUGGCUAGUUUCGAAUUAUAAAAACCCAAUCAUUGUUAAGUUUGGCUACGUCCAAGUCAUAUUGGAUUGUACCAAACAAUUAAAUCCCUAAGGUUUUGAUGUUAAUAAAGUAUAAAUUUUAUGUAUUAACCUUUCAUGCUUAAGCUAUAGGCUUAUCUAUCUCUAUGAGAUACAAAUAAAAAAACUUGAACAAGAAGGCCUUGGACAAUAGUCAAAGUAUCAGCCAUUGGACGAUACUGUCUCAGCAUCCAGUCCUAAGAAGACAAGUACUUUAGCACUUCUCUUGUAGUACAAAAACAAUGGAACAAAUACUCGAUCCUCAAGUACUAAAAACAAUUGUUAGAAAAUAACAUCCAUAGGUUCAGUGAACAACUCGUGCCUUAGUGAACAAAAGGAAAAAUUUAAAUUGUCUUGUCUUCACACUCUUAAUUCCUUUUGUCUUAUGCUGUUAACAUUUAUUUCGAUUUGUAUGUUGAAAGUAAGCUCUGAGCACUAGGCGACACUAGCAGACUAUACUUCUCUGAAGAUAUGUUGCAGAAAGUGUUUGUGGUCCCCACUCUCUCUCUACAUAGUAUCAGUCUCGUGUCAAGAACCAAAACUAUUAGACAAUGACUAGUUGAGAUCUCUCAAUAGAUCAAAGCUCUGAAGCCUAUAUAAAGUUUAAAGAUGUUCGUGUUAAGGUUAACGAAUCACAAAAGAAUAAUCCAAGACAAAACGAACAAAAUGUUGUACUGUUGUCAAUUUACUAGACAAAGGAAACUUGCACGAAUUGAAUGAAUCUUUAGAGAGUUUCAUUGUAUUUGGGCAUGUUGUGUAAACACUCUUUGAGUGAUUAGAAUACUUUUUCUAUCAAACAUAUAUUGUUUUUGAAAGCUAGGAGUGGCUUAGUGACAAAGAAUACUUGGGUCUUAAUCUCAGGGGGAGAUUAAGGGUAGUGCCAGGAGUGGCUUUGAGAGUACUCGUUGUAGCCAGAAGUGGCAUAGAGAAUGCUUGGUUGUAAUCAAAAGAAUUUAUUAGUUGAACACUUCAAGGUUUGAAGGAGAACUGGGCAUAGCCCGAGAGUUGGGGUGAAUCAGUAUAAAACCUUUGUGUUUUCCUUGCUGCUUCUAUACAGCUAGUUUUUUUUUUUCUAUAAGUUACCUCUACACUAUUGUAUCAAAGUUUAGUGAAGUGGUUUUCUUAGCACAACGUGAUUUCUAACCCUUUAGACGAAACUCAUCGUCCAUUGAUAUCUGUUUGAGAAAAGCUUUUAAAAGUUUUCAAAAGAUUAAUUUUUUAACCAUCACACGAUUCAACUCCCCUUUAUUGUGUUUCAGGUUGUUUAGUUGGUAUUAGAGCUUGGCUUUGAGGUUGAGCUCUUGACAGGGUAGAGGAAAGAAAAUUCCUAAAGUGAUGGAAGAAGGAUAUGCUGUGAACAAGCCUCCCAUGUUCAAGGGAGCCAACUAGGACCACUAAAAGGAAAGAAUGAUUGCUUUCUUUGAAUCCACUCACAUUGAUAUGUGGGAUGGUGUAGAAAAAGACAAUCACAUUCCUUUAGACACUUAGAAGAAUGAGAUCCCAAAGGACAAAUGGAUGGAUGAUCAUAAGUCCAGAUUUAUUUUCAAUUCACGUGCAAGGAGUGUAAUAUUGCUGGCUCUAUCACAAGAAGAAUAUUCCAAAGUUCAUAGCUUCAUAUGCUCCAAAUAGAUGUAGGAAACAUUAGCCAUUACAUACGAAGGGUCCUCUGAGUUAAAACCUAACAUGUGGAGCCUUCUAACACGUAAGUAUGAACUCAUCAGUAUGAGAGAGAAGAUAUCAAAACCGUGUUUAGUUGCUUCCAAACCAUUUUCAAUGAGCUUUGCUCUCUAGGUAGACACUAUGAUAAUUAUGAUCACAUUGAUAAAAUCUUAUGAAGAUUAUCUAGAAUGUGAGACCACAGGUUAUAACACUAAAAACCAUUAAGAAUCUUGAUUCUAUGACUCUUAAAGAGCUCGUUGGGAUUCUUAAAGUCCAUGAGCAAGACCUUGCUCAAGAUGAAGGAACAAAGAAAGGGAAAUUGCUAUCCCUUGUAGAUCAAAGACCAAAACGCAACUUUGUGUUCAAAGAGACAUCAUCCAAGGCCUUUGUUGUUAAGUAUGCUUCAGAAAAAGAAUCUAACGAUGAUGACUCUAAUAAAGAAGAUAAUGAGCUAAGUCUGAUCACCAGAAAGAUAAAAAAAAUUGGAAAAAUAAGAACUCCUCUAGGUUCAAUAGAUCAUCCAAAAGAUCCUUGCACAAGAAAGAGAAAAGUCCAAUCAUCUGCUAUAAGUGCACGAAACGAGGGCACUUCAAGUCAGAAUGUACUGACCUUGAAAAGCCAAUGGAUAAGAAGAAGAAAUUCUUCAAUUCCAAAAAGAAAAGCCUCAUGAGCACUUGAGAGUAGCUGAACGAUUCCUUAUCUGACAAGGACAGUGAGGAAGAAGCCAACCUAUGUCUGAUGGCUGAUGCAUCCACUAGUAAGGCAGAACUAGCUCUAGAUGUGAGUUCAGAUGAUGAAAACUCUUAACCUGAGGACACUAUCAACUCUAAUGAUGAAGAGGCAAUGUUUGAAUCCAAAGAAGACUUAAUCAAAGGUUACAAUCAACUUCUAUCUGCCUCUGCUUGCGUCUCUAAAGCUUAUAGAAAAUUAAAUAAACAUUUUCAACACCUUGAAGGAGAGCAUGAGGAUCUCAAGAAAGCUCAUCGAGUUCACUUAGUUGAUUUUAUCCUGGAAACAACCUCGCUUGGUAGUGUACAAGAUGCUUGUGCUUGUGAGGAAGUCAAAGCACUACUAGGCGAAAAGGUAUCCAGUGGAUGCAAAACUCUUCUUAAGGAUUUUCAAGUUAGAAUGUCCUGACCUUGAGAAUGCAAAUGAUAGGAAGAAGAAAUUCGUGAAGUCCAAAAAGAAAAUCCUUGUUAGCACUUAGCAGGACCUAGACGAUUCAUCAUUGAAUAAGGACAGGGAGGAAGAAUCAAACUUGUGUCUGAUGGCUGAUGCGUCCACUAGUAAAGAUGAAUAAGCACUAGACAUAAGUUCAGAUGAUGAGGAACCUCAACCUGAUGACACUAUCAACUCUGAUGGUGAAGAGGUGAUAUUCGAAACUAGAGAAGAUCUAGGGUACAAUCAACUUUUGUCUGCCUUUGCUCACAUCUCUAAAGCUUAUAGAAAACUAAACAAACAUUUUCAACAUCUUGAAAGAAAGCAAGAGGAUCUCAAGAAAACUCAUCAAGCUCAUUUAUUUGAUUUUGUCCUGGAAACCACUUCACUUCGUGAUGUACAAAACACCUUUGUUUUUUAGGAGGUGAAGGCAUUAGUAGAGGAAAAGGUAUCUAGUGAACGGAAAAUUAUUCUUAAGGAUUUUCAAGACUUGGAAGAAAGGGUGAAAUCCUUAACCAUAACUCUUGAAGAUUCAGAAGAAGAACACAAGGAGAUGCUUAAAUAAAAGCUCCUACUUCAAAAAGAACACACUCUUGCUAAUAAUGAGCUUGAUAAGAUGAAAAAGAAAAACUCAGAUCUUUGGACGAAAUGUCAACAUUAUAAAAAGAUUUCUUUUGAUUUAAACUAUAAGCUUAGUGGACGUGAGGUCUUGAAGGAACUACCUCUUGAGAUUGAAAAAGUCUAUAAGGAGAUAGAAACCUUGAGAGAUAAUCUAGGUAAAUUUUUUGAUGGUCAUGAAACCCCAAAGACAAAUCUGGCCAUGGUUGUAACAUCUUGAAAUUUUGAUAACUGGAAAUGGUUUUUUUAAUGUAUUUGUUGUGUUAUUUGAUUAUUUGAUCAAUUAGGAUUAGUUGAAGUGUUGUGUGAAUUAUCCAUGUGCAACUGCUUGGUGUGAACGUUAGGUUAUGUGGAGUUUGAUUGAUUUGUGAUGGAAAUGUGUGGUUUCAAGUUUGACCCAAAACCUGUUUCAGUAAAACCAUGUUCUUGAAUGUGUUAAUUGUUGGAUCGCCUUCAAACUUGGGCUAUAGGUUCACAACACACGUCUGCAUGUUUUGACCGUUGGGAUUUGCAAAAUAAAAUUUUUGGACAGUUCGUUUAGCGUGACCAGCAUGCUAAGCGUAAUUCCACCUAAAGGAAAUAAUUCGUUUGGCAAGACCAGCGCACUUAGCGCAAUUUUGGGCAGUAGAGAAAUUGCGCUCAGCUUGAAAUGUCACGCUUAGUGUAAAAAGUUGAAUUUUGCUUAGCGACCCGAGCUCGCUAAGCGAGAUAUACAGAUUAUAAAUAUGUUCUUCAGCAUAAAAAUCACUAUUGGCACCCCUCUCUCUCUCUUUAAACCCUCACCCAAACCCUAGAACCUCUUUCUCCAGCACCCACGACCACCAGUGACUGCCAUGAGUUGUCGUCGCUUUUUGCUGGACCACCACAUGGAGAAGAACUCUUUAAUCAGAGUAGAAUCUCUAGAACUCAACUGGAGGAUUCAGUAAAGAAUGGAACCUUCAAUCCUUCAUUCAUGGUUUCUUCGAGGUAACUUUGAUUUCUAUGCCUUCUCUUAGUUAGUUUGAGCCUAUCUUUGUAUCUCUUAUCAAUUGGGUACCGUAAUUGGGUAUUUUUAUGUUUCCUUUGAAAAACCCUUAAAAAUGAGAUGUUGUAAAAUUUUUAUUUAAAUAGAAAUAGAUUUCAUUUUUGUGACCUUUGUUUAACCCCGAUCACAUUAGUGUGAUUGAAAUUUCAAAAUGACUUCUCUUUGAUGUAGAACCCAAAAAACACCAUUUUAGCCCCUUUUAAAACUAAAUGGGUAUUUGACCCUAAAUGUUAAUAUUAACCUUGUCUUCGAAAUCUAUAUUGAAUUGUCUUCGAUUUGGUAUAUAGAGCUAUGCAUUUGGACCAAAGGAAGUGAACCUAAGAGAUCUCAUAACAACGUUGCGAGGAACUAACGGAGAGAUAUGGAUAGGUGAGGGGAAUUUAUUGUUUGUUUACAACUUUUGAUACCAUAGUUGGGGUCAGGGAACCCAGUUAUGGGGAUGUAUGUUUGUCCCUGUGCAUGCUGGCUUUCAAGAAAAAUUGUGUUUCUAACUAAUGGGAUGUCAUAUAUUUGUUAUUGAUGAAUAAAACUAUGAAUGAUGUUGUUGAUGUAUUGGUUGUAAUUCUUGGGAAAAAUCCUAAUUAAAGAGGAAACUCUGGCUAAAAUUUUAUAUUUGUUCUCUUAUUUACUUCUUUUACUAAAUGUUGAAUGGGCGUAAGGGCUGCUUGCAUACUAUAGUUUUUUUUUAAUUUAGAAUUUUCCUUAAAAUACCAGUCUCGUGGAAUUAUGAUUUAUUAGGAUAUGUGAUGUAUGUUGUCUGAAGACCUAGGGAAUGUGAAUCCCAGGCAUGUGCUAUAUGUAUAUAUAUGGAAAGUGAUUGCUUGUGAUGUUUAUGAUAUUGAAAUGAGAUGAUGUCGAUGUUGUUGAUGAUGUUGAAGAUGCGAUGAUGUUGAUGCUGAUGCUAAUACUGAAAUGAGAUGAUGUUGAUGUUGAUAUUAAGAUGAGAUGAUUUUGAUAUUGAUGAUGAUAUUGAGAUGAGAUGAUAUUGAUGUUGAUGAUGAUAUUUGAGAUGAGAUGACAUUGAUCUUGAUGAUGACAUUGAGAUGAGAUGAUGUUGAUGUUGAUGUUGAUGAUGUCAUUAUGAAGGAUGCAUGUUGUGUAUGUACAUGGGGGGUGUAGUGACCUAUUGGAUAUUCCUAGAGAGGGAAGGGGAUUGGUUUAAAAAUUUCAAGCAUCCUUGGAGAGGAAAGGGGAUUGCUUAGAAUUUUUAGCUAUCCACGGUCAGUGCAUUGAUGGUGUCUAUGUUUCAUACUUCAUAAUUACAUGCAAAUAGUAUGAACUUUGUUAGUAAGUACCUGUAGUUUUUCAUGAGGAAAAAUACCGGUACUUGGGGAUAUGUCACUCAGUUUGGAACUUCCUUGAGACUCAGGCUGAUCACCAUGGGGGGGGGGGGGGAGUGGCUUAUGCACGACAAGGUGACCUCGACACUUGCUGCCUAGUUUUUCCUAAGUCAAUGUCAUGUGGACAUACUUAGGCUAUUUCCUGAUGAAUGGUUGAUGUGCCAUUAUUUUCUCUUAUUUCUUAACCCUUUUUGCACCAUUUUAAGUACUGAUUAGUCUUAAUUGUCAAAUUAAUUAGGCAAUUUUAUUAUUUGGGCCCAUUCAGAUAAUUUGAUGUUUUUAAUCUAAUUUCAGGAAUUAAUGAAGCAUUGGGCUUGAAUCCAGAAUUGGGCUUGGACUUGAAGAGGGCAGAC